rnacentral:lncRNA from 1 species
GAAGGGAAUGGGAGAUGAUCAUCCAUCGAUAGUACCAAAGAGACAGACACUCGGAUUUUGACAAAAUCAGUGGAUCAAAAGGGAAGAAGAAAUCAAAGUGAAGAGGAGGAGAGAAGAAUAAUAGAGAGAUACAAGAGAUGGAGGCUUGCCCAAUGGGGUAGCAGAGUUCAAUCACUAGACAGCAGGCAACAGGAGAGAAGAGGGUUUUCUUGGUAAAGAUACUGGAGUGAUUUGCCAUUUCUUUCUCCAGGUCAUUUUACAGUUGACUAAAAUAAGGCAGCCAUGAUUAAGUGAUUUGCCCAGAGUCGAAGUCACCUAAAGAACACGGAGGGUGGACAGCGCCUACCAUGGGAAGAUACCAAGGAAUUCUCAUCAUCUUUCAUCUGGCUGCUUUCCUGGACUUUAUCAUUUCAAGAAACUCAUUAUUCUGCAAGAUGAAAUCUACUCUCAAACUCUCAUCUCCUCAGAUUAUUUCCUACUCCAGCUGCAGGACUUUAUCAUGCCUCCACUUUGGGGACCAUCUGCCCUACUGCUUUCCUGGUAGGCCACUGGGCUUUAACAUCUGUUCUACCACUGAACCUUUCUGACCAUGGAAACCCUGUCAUCUUUCCUGAUGCUGUACCCUCUAGAACUCUGGGCAUUUCCACCUUCCCAGAACUUGGAAGACCACAGAUCCUUUCCACUUCCACUUCACCUGAAUCUUCCUCUAUGGAUUGUGUCUAUCAGUACAAAGUGAGCUCUUUGAGGGGCUCUCACUUUUCUAGUGGUAUCUUCAGUGUUUUGUACACAGUAAAUGUUCAACAAAUGCUUUUUUGUUCCUUUC